rnacentral:rRNA from 1 species
CCCUUAGAUGUUCUGGGCUGCACGCGCGCUACACUGAUGCGCUCAACGAGCUUAUGUCCUUGCCUGGAAAGGUUGGGUAAUCUUUUUAAAACGCAUCGUGAUGGGGAUAGAUUAUUGCAAUUAUUAAUCUUCAACGAGGAAUGCCUAGUAAGCGCAAGUCAUCAGCUUGCGUUGAUUACGUCCCUGCCCUUUGUACACACCGCCCGUCGCUCCUACCGAUUGAAUGGUCCGGUGAAGCGUUCGGACCGUGGCCUUUGGACGGUUCGCCGUCUGUUGGCUGCGGGAAGUUCGUUAAACCUUAUCAUUUAGAGGAAGGAGAAGUCGUAACA